rnacentral:rRNA from 1 species
AAGUGAAAAGGCUUAAAUGAUUUGAAGGGACGAUAAGACCCUAUAAAACUUUAUAUUUAUAAGGUAGUAGUUGUUUUUAUUUAAUAGUAUUAUUUUGGAAUAUUUGGUUGGGGUGACAAGGAUAAAAUAUAAAAUAACUGUCUUUUUUUUUUACAGUUAUGUUUGGUUUAAUGAUCCUAAAAGGGAUUAAAGAUUAAGUUACUUUAGGGAUAACAGCGUAAUUUUCUUUAAGAGUUCUUAUCGACAAGAAAGUUUGCGACCUCGAUGUUGAAUUAAAAGUUCUUUAUAGAGUAGAGACUAUAGAAGAAGGUCUGUUCGACCUUUAAAGUUUUACAUGAUUUGAGUUCAGACCGGUGUAAGCCAGG